CCUACGGGUGGCAGCAGUGGGGGAUAUUGCACAAUGGAGGAAACUCUGAUGCAGCGACGCCGCGUGAGGGAAGACGGUCCUCGGAUUGUAAACCUCUGUCUGUGGGGAAGAAAAUGACGGUACCCAAAGAGGAAGCUCCGGCUAACGACGUGCCAGCAGCCGCGGUAAUACGCAGGGAGCGAGGGUUGUCCGGAAUUACUGGGUGUAAAGGGAGCGUAGGCGGGCGAGAAAGUUGCAUGUUAAAUCUACCGGCUUAACUGGUAGCUGCGUUCAAAACUUCUUGUCUUGAGUGAAGUAGAGGCAGGCGGAAUUCCUAGUGUAGCGGUGACAUGCUUAGAUAUUAGGCGGAACCCCAGUGGCGAAGGCGGCCUGCUGGGCUUUACCUGACGCUGAGGCUCGAAAGCGUGGGGAGCAAACAGGAUUAGAUACCCUUGUAGUC
rnacentral:rRNA from 1 species